GAUGAACGCUGGCGGCGUGCCUAAUACAUGCAAGUCGAACGGCAAGAUGCGGAGAUUGCUCCUCUGACGUUAGCGGCUGACGGGUGGGUGACACGUGGAUAAGCUUCCUCUAAUUCUGGGGUGAUUACGUGGAACCGGUGCUGAUAACGGCUCAUAUAUUGAACCGCAUGGUUCAAUAGUUAUAGACGGUUUUGGUGUCUGUUUUAGCUGAAUUCGUGUCGGAUUAGCUAGUUGGUAGGGUACCGGCUCACCAAGGCGACGAUCCGUAGCUGGUCCGAGAGGAUGAUCAGCCACACUGGAACUGAGACACGGUCCAGACUCCUACGGGAGGCAGCAGUGGGGAAUAUUGGACAAUGGGCGCAAGCCUGAUCCAGCCAUACCGCGUGGGUGAAGAAGGCCUUCGGGUUGUAAAGCCCUUUUGUUGGGAAAGAAAAGCAGCAGGUUAAUCCACCGCUGUUCUGACGGUACCCAAAGAAUAAGCACCGGCUAACUUCGUG
rnacentral:rRNA from 1 species